AACGAACGCUGGCGGCGUGCUUAACACAUGCAAGUCGAGCGAUGAAGUUCCUUCGGGAAUGGAUUAGCGGCGGACGGGUGAGUAACACGUGGGUAACCCGCCUCAUAGAGGGGAAUAGCCUUUCGAAAGGAAGAUUAAUACCGCAUAAGAUUGUAGCUUCGCAUGAAGUAGCAAUUAAAGGAGUAAUCCGCUAUGAGAUGGACCCGCGUCGCAUUAGCUAGUUGGUGAGGUAACGGCUCACCAAGGCGACGAUGCGUAGCCGACCUGAGAGGGUGAUCGGCCACAUUGGGACUGAGACACGGCCCAGACUCCUACGGGAGGCAGCAGUGGGGAAUAUUGCACAAUGGGGGAAACCCUGAUGCAGCAACGCCGCGUGAGUGAUGACGGUCUUCGGAUUGUAAAGCUCUGUCUUCAGGGACGAUGAUGACGGUACCUGAGGAGGAAGCCACGGCUAACUACGUGCCAGCCGCCGCAGUAACAC
rnacentral:rRNA from 1 species